rnacentral:lncRNA from 11 species
GGGUUGGACAAGCCUAUUUUAGAUGAUAGUCUUUUUUUUAUCUUGUACAACAGAUUCAGGAGCAGAUGGGGAUGAUUUGUGCAUGCAGCGGCAGCAGUGGGCAUGGUAUCAAAGUCUCAAGAAACUUACAACCUAAAAUUCAACUGUGGGAAAACAGUAGAAGAAAAAAGAGGUGGCAGAACAGUCAUGAGAACUACAAGGAGCUGCCAAGGAGGAGAAAGUGGCAGCAGCUACAGCAGCAACCGGUGACAUAAGAGGUGAUCAAGGCAAUGUAGAGGAAAGAGUGAUCUUUCAUUGGCUUAUUCAUGAUGUUGUCAGCAGAAUUUUGCAAAACCCUCGAAGAAAGAAAUCCGCCAACGAGCCAAAGAAAGCCAUUCUUCGACACAGGCAUUUUAGUAAUGUAAACCAAGGAUGUACACAUUGCUCUGACCAGCCAAUUCAUUUCCAGGCAGAAUUAAAAGUGCUGGCUAUGACCUUUAAAGCCCCAUACAAGUCAGAUCCAGAUUCUUUGAAAAACCAUAUAUUUUAUAUGGGUCUGUUUGUGUUUUCUCAUGACCCUACCACCAUUCAGUCAAGCCAAUCGAGGACACAGGCUGGUUCCAGGCUGUGGGACAUUCUUCCAUAGUCUUCCUCUCUUUUCUAUCUAAAAUCAUAAUUAUGUAUGUCUGUGUCUACAGAAACAACAGAGUCUUGUGAUACCUGAAAGACCUAAAAGCUUAAGAUUUCAUAAAAUCCUGUCUAGUUUAACAGAUAGAAUAAUUGUGCACUUGAUAAACUGAACUGGUA